rnacentral:ncRNA from 1 species
CUCAGGGCAGGGUGAAAUUCCUGACCGGCGGUUAUACCCCGCGAGCUGCGAUGCAGUAGGAACUAGUGAAAUUCUAGUGGCGACAGUAAAGUCUGGAUGGAAGAG